AUUCUUAAAAAUAGACCUUAACAGGGAAUGUAAUUAUUUGUUUGCAAAAUUAGUUGAAAUCAGUUAUGACCAGUUGUUAUCAGUUGAUGACCUUUCUUUGACUCACAGUACAAAAAGUAAAUUCCUCUUUCUGUGAGGUUGAAAUGGAAGGGAACUGGUUAAUAAAAGCACAACCCUAGUUUGUAUUUGGAUUUUGCUUAAAUUUGCAGCUGAAACCAUGUAGUGUGCCCCCUUGUGGCAAAAUGAAGCUCAUUUUGCCAUAGUUAAUUAAGUAUGCAGAAUACAUUUAAUUCAUUAUAGUUUUAGACAUUAAUAAACAAAGUUCUAAAUGGAUAAUUUUUCCUCAUUCUAUCCUGGUAGCAGCAAGCUCAUUUUUUUAACCACAAACAGGUUUGAUUUUCUCACAGGCACUUUCAACAGCCUAGACCCCUAGUGACCUGUUUAUUUAGGUGCGUGCUGAUUAGAAAUUCUCAUGCUGAGCUCCUUUCAGCACAUUGUGUAUGGAACAUAACAACUCUGCAAUGCUCUAAUGCACUCUCUCUCUCUCUCUCUCUCUCUCUCUCUCUCUCUCUCAAUCUCCUACAUCAAUUAAUGGUGCAGUUAGAAAAGCACGUUUACUGCCAUGCCACCUUCAUGAGCACAAGUUCUGCUGUAGCUUGCACUUGCAGGUGUCAGUGAAGCCUUUACCCCGAAGCUGGUGUUGGUUAGUGCAGACACACCCUGUGGAUAGCGGAACCCAUUUGUAGUCAAAUAAUC
ensembl:lncRNA